ACGGCUCAGUAACACGUGGAUAACCCGCCCUAUGGUGGAGAAUAACCCCGGGAAACUGGGGAUAAUACUCCAUAGAUUAGAGAUACUGGAAUGUUCUUUAAUCGAAAGUUGAGGCGCCAUAGGAUGGAUCUGCGGUCGAUUAGGUUGUUGUUGGGGUAACGGCCCAACAAGCCUGUAAUCGAUACGGGUUGUGGGAGCAAGAGCCCGGAGAUGGAAUCUGAGACACGAUUCCAGGCCCUACGGGGCGCAGCAGGCGCGAAAACUUUACAAUGCAGGAAACUGUGAUAAGGGAACCCCGAGUGCCCGUAUACGCGGGCUGUCCAGGUGUCUAAAAAGCAUCUGAAGAAAGGGCCGGGCAAGACCGGUGCCAGCCGCCGCGGCAAUACCGGCGGCUCGAGUGGUGGCCACUAUUAUUGGGCUUAAAGCGUCCGUAGCUGGACUCUUAAGUCUCUUGGGAAAUCCGCCGGCUUAACCGACGGGCGUCUAAGAGAUACUGAGAGUCUAGGGACCGGGAGAGGUGAGAGGUACUCCGGGGGUAGGAGUGAAAUCCUGUAAUCCCUGGGGGACCACCGAUGGCGAAGGCAUCUCACCAGAACGGCUCCGACAGUGAGGGACGAAAGCUGGGGGAGCGAACCGGAUUAGAUACCCGGGUAGUCCCAGCCGUAAACUAUGCGCGUUAGGUGUACUGGUGACCACGAGUCACUGGGGUGCCGAAGGGAAACCGUGAAACGUGCCGCCUGGGAAGUACGGUCGCAAGGCUGAAACUUAAAGGAAUUGGCGGGGGAGCAC
rnacentral:rRNA from 1 species